UACGUAGGGUGCAAGCGUUGUCCGGAAUUAUUGGGCGUAAAGGGCUCGUAGGCGGUCCGUCACGUCGGAUGUGAAAACCCAGGGCUCAACCCUGGGCCUGCAUUCGAUACGGGCAGACUAGAGUAUGGCAGGGGAGACUGGAAUUCCUGGUGUAGCGGUGAAAUGCGCAGAUAUCAGGAGGAACACCGGUGGCGAAGGCGGGUCUCUGGGCCAAAACUGACGCUGAGGAGCGAAAGCGUGGGGAGCGAACAGG
rnacentral:rRNA from 1 species